rnacentral:snoRNA from 1 species
UAAUAUGAUGAGCUUUUUAAACACUCUUUAGCUAGAUAGUAUCUGAAAGUUAACUUUAUGAUUUUGGUGUUUUAGACAAUGGGAAUCUCUCUGAUA